rnacentral:lncRNA from 1 species
AUAUUCCAGAGAAGAAAUGCAGUCAGAAGUCUUCCACUUAGUACACAGUUGAAGCCAAAGGAUGACAAGUAGAUAUAUUUGAUGGAGUCUAUCUCAAAAUGUAAUUUUCUUCUUGACACCAGAGUAAUAGCCACAAGGACACAAUUUAGCAUCUUAUCUGACAGGUGUAAAGUGUGUCUUCUUCCUCUUCACUUUCAGUAUUUUUCCUUCAAUGUAAAUUUUAGCUGAUCACUGAACAGUCUGUCAUUUUUAUUUUUAAAAGUGGGAUCCAGAUGAGCAAACACAACUCCGUGGAAGCGGUGACCUUUUUACAUGGGAGGAAAAACACUGGGGUUCAGAGCGACUUCAGACAUCCGUCUCGGAGCUCUAUCCAUUCAGCGUACUCGCAGGCGAACAGGCGUUAUCGCCCUGCACAGUGCUCAGAGCGGCUCUCCCAGACGCCUUAAUGAAGGUCGGCGGGCUGCCUCAACACUCUUCGUAGCUUCCACUGGGCUCAGCCCAAUACCCUCUCCACUCCUCCUCAACCCUCAGAGUACUCCCUACUUCCUGCAGCGCAUCGCCCCAUCGCGUUAAUCUGAGCUGCUCUCUGGAGACAAUGUGAUGCUAAUAAGUCUGGAAACUUUAAAAUGCAUGGGAAGGGUUUUUUAAUGUUAUUUCAGCUUUCACUUUUCAUUUCUGUUUGGAAAGUUAAAAGCAACCAUGUUUGCAUCCUCGCUAUGAAAUAAACAUCGAAGGAUUAAUUUUUGAGGACCAAAUUAAAGUUUAAAAUCAGAGGGGCAUUUGAAAUUGUUCCCAUCUGUGCUAUGAAAUUAGUGCCCUGGUUAUUUGAUGAAAAAAUUAGAGAUAUUGAUUAUCGGAAGGUCAAAAAGAAAGCAUCCCAUUAUAAUGUUUGGAAAAGU